UACGGAGGGUGCAAACGUUGCUCGGAAUCAUUGGGCGUAAAGCGCACGUAGGCGGCCUGUUAAGUCGGGUGUGAAAUCCCUGGGCUCAACCCAGGAAGUGCAUUCGAAACUGGCAGGCUUGAAUAUGGAAGAGGGUCGCGGAAUUCCCCGGUGUAGAGGUGAAAUUUCGUAGAUAUCAAGAGGAACACCUGCGGCGAAGGCGGGUUGCUGGGCCGACACUGACGCUGAGGCGCGAAAGCUAGGGGAGCAAACGGG
rnacentral:rRNA from 1 species